UAGGGAAUCUUCCGCAAUGGACGAAAGUCUGACGGAGCAACGCCGCGUGAGUGAAGAAGGUUUUCGGAUCGUAAAACUCUGUUGUCAGAGAAGAACAAGUCGGAGAGUAACUGCUCCGACCUUGACGGUAUCUGACCAGAAAGCCACGGCUAACUACGUGCCAGCAGCCGCGGUGAUACGUAGGUGGCAAGCGUUGUCCGGAUUUAUUGGGCGUAAAGCGAGCGCAGGCGGUUCCUUAAGUCUGAUGUGAAAGCCCACGGCUUAACCGUGGAAGGUCAUUGGAAACUGGGGGACUUGAGUGCAGAAGAGGAGAGUGGAAUUCCAUGUGUAGCGGUGAAAUGCGUAGAUAUAUGGAGGAACACCAGUGGCGAAGGCGACUCUCUGGUCUGUAACUGACGCUGAGGCUCGAAAGCGUGGGGAGCAAACAG
rnacentral:rRNA from 1 species